AAGCCAUUAUGCGGACAAUCUCUUACCAACCUUUUAAACCUCGCCCAGGCGUCACUGAGCGAUUCAUUAAUAUCCUGUUCAGAAUUAGUGAUCAACUUCCUCUUUCU